rnacentral:rRNA from 1 species
GUGGGGAAUAUUGGACAAUGGGGGAAACCCUGAUCCAGCCAUGCCGCGUGUGUGAAGAAGGCCUUUUGGUUGUAAAGCACUUUAAGCAGUGAAGAAGACUCCAUGGUUAAUACCCAUGGACGAUGACAUUAGCUGCAGAAUAAGCACCGGCUAACUCUGUGCCAGCAGCCGCGGUAAUACAGAGGGUGCAAGCGUUAAUCGGAAUUACUGGGCGUAAAGGGAGCGUAGGUGGCUCUAUAAGUCAGAUGUGAAAUCCCCGGGCUUAACCUGGGAACUGCAUCUGAAACUGUAGAGCUAGAGUAUGUGAGAGGAAGGUAGAAUUCCAGGUGUAGCGGUGAAAUGCGUAGAGAUCUGGAGGAAUACCGAUGGCGAAGGCAGCCUUCUGGCAUAAUACUGACACUGAGGCUCGAAAGCGUGGGUAGCAAACAGGAUUAGAAACCCGAGUAGUCC